AAAUCUCCAAAUUUAGAAGAAAUAUGAAAAUUGUCAACCACUCCUUCCUUAGGGGGUAAAAGCAACAUUCGGCACUAGGGGCAGGUCAAGGCGAGGCAGUCACGUGUUGGGCUCCUGGGCCAAUGGGGGACCCCGGGAGGACUCCGCACCCACCUCUCCCCAGCACCAGGCUCGCCUCUUUAGCUCUUAUAAGGUAAAAGGCAGAGAACCCUCUGUGGCCAGGGAGCCGCGGGCAAGGGGCUAAGGGGAGGGGGUCCAGUGCCAGUCGCUUAAAAAUGCCCCUGUGGCAGUGAGGGGUGCCAGAGGCUGGGUCAAGUUAGUCGUGAAGCAGUGAUACCCCCAACCAUUCCCCACACAGGCUGGCCCCCCAUCGCCAGGCGCAAGAAGCCACACCUGGACCAGACUCCAGGCGAGGUAAGAAUGAGCUGAGACACGGGGCCAUGAACGGGGCUGUGCAUCCUCCUCCCCAGGAGGUUGCAUCUGGAGGUCUUGUCCUUGCUUUCUUGCUAACUGCUCUGUGCCUUCUGCCUCUCUGGGCCUCAGUUUCCCUAUCUGGACAGGGGUUGGAUUCGAUGAUCUCUAAGCGUUCAUCCAGGCUGAUGGCUCUAAUCCACAGUUCUGUUGGCUCUGAGGUCUUCGUGUUGCUGCGGUACCAUGGGGACAGAGGCAGAGGGAGUGGACGGAGUCAAUGCCCAAACUUGCCCUCUGUGCCCAAGUUUGGGAUUCUAUGUGGACAGUGCUCUCCCUUCUUGUGUGAGGUUUUGGUUUCAGUUCUAAGAGCCUGGGGCUCCUGGUAAGGAAAAUAGUUUUCAAAUAAUGGCUUCGAGAAACAUAGCUAGAGGGAAGUGAUGUGAGCGUGGGCUCCUGAAAGAAACCAGAGAACAAGGAAGGAGCUGAGUUAGCUGUGCAUGGAGCCUGGGCCAGGGCUCCAACCCAGCUCUGCUCCUGGUGCCUGGCUCUGUGGCUCUGGCGGUCACUGUCCCUCCGGUGCUUCCUUAUCUGUCUUAGGAGGUCUCUACACAGGAUGUGGCUUCUGAGCCAGUUGAGCCUACCAGAAGCCAGUGUCCCUGAGCUGAGCCAAAAGGUCCUGAGCUGAGCCUGCCCUUUGAUCAUGGGCUCAGAGCCUGAGCAGAUGCCCAAAGCCCCAGGAAAGUGAAGGAAAGUGACUGCAGGGUGUCUGCCCCAGGCCAUGGGACUAUCUUCCCCAGGACUCAGCUCGGUGGGCAAGGGCGGCUCUCUGCACUCAGGCACACAGCGGUGCCAGACUGGAGGCAGAAUGGGGGAGAGUGACUGCAGGGGGCUCAGGAGGUGAGAUGUAGGGCUGAACUCCACAGAGAAAGGCAGGAGGCAGAUGGGCACCAGGGGUCCUGUCAGGCAGGGCUCCGGAUGGGAAUGCAGAUGCGCACGGCAGUAUUCACCUCCUCUGAACACAUUCUGGCCACAUGCAGGAACAGAGCCCAGUCCUCCAGUGCCAGCCUCUCUAGGGCCUUUACCUUCUUGCUUCUAGGCACGCAAAGCUCAACACUUUAAUAAUCCAGAAUCCUAGAAUCCAACUGACAGGCCCCCAUCCUGGCUUGUUUACUUACAAGCAAAGUGACCCUGGGCAAGUCCCCUGCCAUCUGAGCCUCAAUUCCUCCUCUGUGGAAUGAGUACAGUCCUGAUUCUAACCCCUUGUGUCUAUCAUGAGGAGUGAGGGACAUGCUCCCCUUACAGCAGGGUCUGGAGUGACAGGACCAUGAGGCUCCAUACCUCUUGUGGGGCAAGAUGACAGCAGCCAUGUUUAGAGGGAAGAAGAGAUGAGACUGAGGCAUGGAACAAUGGGGCCACUGAGGGGAGGACCAGCUCCGGCAGGAAGAGGGAAGGUGAAUCUGGAAGCAGAGGUGAGGGGUGAAGGGCAGUCAGUAUGAGACUCUAAGAGCCAAGUGUGGCCCCAUCCCUGCAUGCACAAGCGGAUCAGGUAUCUCCAGGAUGUGGGGCCCAAGCACUGCACACUCAGGGGCAGGGACCCCAGGCAGGGCCCAGGAAUCUCCAGGCUAGACCCCAGGACCUUUCAUGGCUUGGGCUGUAGAGCAUCCUAGGACCCUCAACAGACCCAGGGCAGCUGAAGCACCCAAGAGGAUGUACAGCCAUAGGUUAUACAGUGACUGAUGGCAGAGGGAACAGGACCUGAAUCUCUGCCCUGCCAGGGGUUCCUGGAGAUGGUACAAUUAGGGAGAAAUGUAUUGCAUUCUUUUGCAUGGCAUAGAGGCGAUCCCAGAACUACUCAGUGUCUUUAUAUGAACUAAUUAAUUUAAUCCUCACGAGACCUUGUGAAGUAGGUGGAAGUAUCCCUAUUGCUCAGAUGAGAUAGUGGAGGUGCAGAAGGGUUAAGUAGCUUGCCUAAGAUCACACCAUUACUUGUUAAACUUAGAUACUGUGUGUGCUUCCCCAGGAUGCUAUCUUCCCCAGGAGUCUCUGGGCUCCUGCCCUGCCCCUCACCCACCCUGAAAUUCCCGAGGAACCUUCAAUAUACCUGGUAGAAGGGGACAAAAUAUGGAUGGGAAACUUCCCAGGAGCCAGGUACUGGGCUGAACCAUUUGUGUUAUCAUUUGAAAUUCUCAGGAUUAUUAAGAGGAAGGAAUCAGCAUGACCAUGUCAUCACCGGUGUAUAAAGAAGGAAGCCAUUAUAGCUUGCCACAGGUCACAUAACUCAAAUAUAGCGAGGGGGAUUUGACCCCAGCCUGGAGCCCCAACCCAUAUGCCCUUCUCCUGCCUGCUAAGGGUCUCCAGAUGGGUGCAGUGAUAAGGAAGCCCACCUCACCCUCUGGAGAAGACUAAGUCAGAGAGGGGCACCCAGGGCUUGACCAAGCCUCUUGCUCUGAGGCCACCUCAUCUGCUGCUCCGCACAGAGACCCUGAGGACUAAAGCAGCCUUUUCCUCCUGGGCCAGUUCUGGGGAAGAGCAGAUGAAAUGCACAAAGUCUUGAGGAGUGGAAGGUUCAAGGCCUGAGCUGUCACUGCCGUGUACCCCAGGGGCUCCCUGAGAUGGUCUCUGAGGUCCCCACACUGGGCUCUGCUGGACUCUUCCUCCUCCUGCCAUUGUCCAACAGAAUGGUCUGUGGGCCUGAUCAGGGCUUCCAGUGGUUCAAAGAUCCAUUAUAAAGGAGUUUCUGCAUUAUGUCCAUUUUUGUGCUCAUCUCCUGGUGCACAGAAGCCGCAGUCUCGGGAUUACUGGGUGUGUGCAGGAAACUACUUGAUUAUUUUCCAGAGUGGCCAAGUGAACCUCCUCCCACUCCCCAGCAGUAUAUGGCAUUCCCUUCUUCCUGACCAUGCUAGAAAGGACCAGAGUUCAUGAAGCGUGUGUGUUACCCACUUUAUUUCAUAUGUGUCACGUUUCUCUAAUAAACACUGUAAGGGAAAGGGCUGUGGGUGUAGUUCAGCGGUGGAGCACUUACCUAGGAUGAGCCAGGCUCUGGGUUCUGUCCCUAGCACCUACCCCUAAAAGGAAGGAAGAACUGGAAAUAAAAUGCUUGUGUGUGUUCUGCAAGAUGCUCCACUCUUGUCCAUGUGGGCAUCUAGAAAUCGGCCUUACAUGUGCCAAGUGGCUAAGCCUCUGAAUCAUGGACACUUGGCAGGCCCUGGAGUGGGAGUGGGCCCUACCCACGUGGCCCCCCACCCGAGCAGUACACAGUCUCCACAGUCUGAUCAGAGCUGCCUGGGGCAGUGAGCUGCAGGAGUCGGAGAAAGAGCCCACCAUAGCUUCCACGGCAGCUAACAGCUUGUCUAGACAGGCCCCAUGGGGUCAUCAGUCUGGCCUCACCACACAUCUCGGGAGCCUCAGGACAGCCACUCGCUGAUUGCAAAAGAGGCUCAUUGGCAGCAGCACUUCCCCACCAGAAGCCUUUUCUCCGGUUCAGACCAUGCCCCAUUUUGCAGCACAGACACCCAUUUUCCCAGCCCGCAAGCUGGACCUCUUCAGGCUCCGCUUUUGUUAGCCAAGGAGACAAGGCUGAGUCUAGAACCAGGCUCUCUCUCCCCAUGUCUUGAGAUGAAGGGAGCAUGUGGACAUCCAGCUGUGCUGAGAGUGAGAUAAAGACACGGUAGGCCAAAGGUUCGAGGUGGGGGCCUGAGCUGAAUCCUGCAUGUGCCUCGCAGCAGCUGUGGAACCUUGGGCAUCCUACAGAGAGACCCUCUGUGCCUCAGCUGUGAAACAGGGGUGUUGUUUGGGUGGGCCAAGUCCACUUGGGGCCUCAUCAGCCCUGGGAUACCCUUUGUCACCUGCCCCCAACCUGUCAGAGACUUGAAGAAGUGGGCUAGACCAAGACUGAGGACAACAGCCAUAUUUUGGCCCCUCCCCAGGAGCCCCACCCUGCUGCAAGCCUAGACCCCUAGGCCUCAGAGAGCCCUCCUUGGACCCAAGCUGUACUUCAGGGAGGGAAGCUCCAACCUGGAAAGCACACUGGACCCACAGGCUUAAUAGGGAUGUUGCCCAGCUGCCACUAACUUCCGCCCCUCAUCUCUUCCUUUGCUCCUGAUGGGGCAAAGUCUCCAGAAGGGGCCGGCUGGCCUCACAGUGGCAGCCGCAGAGACCACGGCACCGCCCUAGACUGUGCUGCCUGGCUCAGAGGCCUCUGGUCAGCAUUCUCAGAGCCAGCCAAACCUCGGACACAUGACCAGCAACCCCCAGAUGCUGAGGGCAGCCACUGAGAUACAUGAAUGAGAUGGGGAGGAAGAAAGAGACAGCUGAGUCCUGGCAUCCUCUGAGACUUGAGGAAGUGCCCCCACACCCCACCCCAGCCCUUCAGGCCUGAGGCCCACUGUUUGGGAUGGAAGGGGGAUAGCUCGGGUCAUGUCAUGUGUGCUGGUGGAUGCCAAGACUUCCCAAGAGGUUAACAAGGCUGUGGGUGGAGGCAGUGAGGGCAGCAGCAUGCCCUGGACAGAUGGCGAGGAGCACAGCCAGGUGGACAGUCCGGAAAGCAAAGGUAGAGAGGGAGGACUACAAAGACGUUUGCAGAGAACAAUGCAGAAGCCCAUUGGCUGGAACCCAGUGUUGACCUUAAGUUCGGAGGUUGACAAAAUCCUAAAGGCCUGUGUUGUGGAGUGGCUUAGACAACUGGGAACCAAGGCCUCAGAAGCUGGGCAAAGCCAAAUAUGGUGAGGCACGUCUGCAUCUGGGAGGUUGAGGCAGGAGGAUAAAGAGCUCAAGCACAGCCUGGACAACUUAGCAAAUUCAUGAGGCCCUAUCUCAAAAAUAAAAAAUACAGUGGGUUGAGGAUGUAGCUCAAAUGCCUGGGUUCAUUCUCCAGUACCUCGAAGAAGGAGGAGGAGGAGGUGAAGGAGAAAGAGGAGGAAGAGGAAGGAGUUGUAGAAAGUUCUCUUUGGAAUCUUUCAGUCCUUUUCUUUAACCUACUUGUCUCCUUUCCCCAAAAAUCCAUCAGCCAAGAGCCCCCAUCAGUGGAGUCCUGAGAAUCUCGACAUUGGGAAUCCUCAGAUGUCAAGCAGUGGGGAGAGGGGACCACAUGGUUAGGAGAGGUAGGAAGCCCAAGGGCUGCAGUCACCAACUUCCAACCUCUCAAAGCCUUCUGAGGAAGUUUACAGCCCCAGAAGAGAGGCAGGAGAAGCCAGAGAGGCAGAUAGCAGCCGGGUGUUAGGAAGGAGUCUCCAAUAGCCUGUGUGUGGGAGACAGAAUAAGGUGAUUUGGAAGUGGUGAGCUCCCCGCCACAAAAAGUGUGCAAGAUUAGCAGGGAUGCCAUAGUGAGGAGGCAGGCAUCAGAGGCCUUGUGACCUUUCCUAUCACCUGCCUGGAGCUUCACGUGCCAGAUGUAGCUGCAGUGGGACAGUUGGGCUGCUCACCUCCCCAGCAGCCUGCAUGUCAGAUUCCAGCCUGAUGUGUGACGUCAAUGCUGCCCUGACUUUGCCCAGGGAUCUCUUGGGGCCCCUACCUCCCACUUCCUGUCACCCCACUGCUGCCUACUGCCCUUCCCAGGAGACCUGGAAUCUGACUGUGAGGCAGAAGUCCCAGGGGACCAUUCAAUUGCUGGCCUUCAGCCCUGCAGCAAUGAGCCUGAGCGGGCUGAGCUCCCUGGAGCCCUGUUCACACGCUCCAGAGAGUCUGCGUGGAAAUUCCAGGAGGGUCACUGGGCAGCUUCUAAUUUAGAACCAAGAUGCUUUACCCCAGCAGGGGGUGGGGUGUCACAGGAGACUGGAAAAGAAAGUAGCUCUUCUCAAUGGAUGAGUCACAGAAGACAGAGCCCAGAGAGACCGGGGGUGCGGUGCUGACUGGGGCAUCCUUCUCCUUCCAGGACCCAGGGAUGUGGACAGAAAUUUGAGACAAGGCAAGGGGUGUGCCAGGCCUGAUAAGGGUGCCAGGGCAAUGGGCAUGAACACUGAGCAGGUGAGCAGGCAGCCCUGGACACCUGUGCCCAGCAUUGCCUGAGCCUAGCUUCAAGCCAGGCUCAGACAGUCAGCCAGGGGUCCUAGAAUAGAGACAGAAGGGUCCCGGAAAUGGGCAUUUGGGGAGUUCCUGCCUCACACUGGCGGUAAAGCUAAAGUGAACUGCUGUCCCCAUGACAUUCACCCCGGGGACCUGGUGGAUGCUCAAUAAAUGUUCCUGGGAUUCACCCUAAACUCAUAGCAUCUGAGUUCUUCCAGAGCUAAAGGGGCCUCAGAGUGAGUUGAGCCUCUGCCCUCAGGUCGCAGAUAAGAAACUGAGCCCUGGUGGUGAGCAGAGCCUUCCCCAAAUCCACCGUGCCAGAGUGGCUUCAUCCUCUGCUUCGUCUUUGCUUUCUAGGCAGGUGCUACACUCUUCACCACUGAGGGUGGUGCCUGCCAGGCUCUGGGGUCAGAGGUAGCUGGAAGGUGGCAGACUGUACGGGGAGCCCUUUACAUGGCCAGAGGCAGCUGCCAACAGCAUGGGGACUGCAGUGGGAGGCCUCCCAAAGAGCAGAGAGCCCAAGGCUGGGACCUGAGGCCCUGGGUUCUAUUCUUGGCUCUGCCUCAACUCUCCAGAUGACCUUGAACAUGACCUCUGGCCUCCAUGUGUGGAAUGAGGGGCAGGGCCAGACCAGCAAGAGAAGCUGGGGAUUUGAUCCACAGUCUGCCCCAUUGGGCCUCCUCUGUAUCUGUCUCCAACCAUCUUAGAUUUUACUUAGCCAGCUUGGCCCAGGAAGAGAACAGCUGCCUGUGUAUUCUAAGCCCAAGCUUCACUUUCCAGCUAUAAAUUCCCAGAGAGAGGAAAACCUGGGCAACCUUUUGACAUCACCCCAGUGAGAGAAGCUGAGAUAAGAAGGGGUCAGCAGAUGGCUCCAGGUCACACAGUGAGCUAUGCCCAGGCUAGAAGUUGAUCUUGGGUCUCCUGACACCCACAUCAGGGCUUUUUCCACUGACCACACUUCCCUCCACAGUAGUAGUAGUGGACACAAAAGCCACUCACAAGCAGACCCAGUCGCCGAUUUACCUUGAUGGGUCAAAAUCCUGCUCGGGGAGCCUAGAAUCUCUCUCGGCGGCGCCGUCUGGAACUCAGUUUCCUGUGCACCAGAUGUCUAUAAGCUCCUCCUCCCGAGCACGAGCACUAGGGAUCCACCGGGACCACGGGGCUUCCCUGGGCAGCCCCUGCUGCCUCGGCUUCCUCCUGCUCUUUAUCAACAGUAGAGGACCCUGGCCAGGAAAUCCCACCUAGUCCCCCCCAGACCCCAAGGCUGGGCUUCAAUCAGAAUUACAGGCCCCAGCCCAGCUCCCCUCUGAGGAGCUGGAUUUUUCUUACCAUAAAAGGACAAGUGGGCCUCCCCUGCUCCCUGCUGCCAGCCCUGCUGGGAGAAAGGCUAAGCUAUUUUUAGAAAACUCAAGGGUUCGCAAGAUGAAGCUUGUCUGUGCCUGCACCCCAGCCCCUCCCCAUCUCUCCUCUUCCUCUCCUCCCCCUCCCUCUCCCCCUCCCCCUCCUCCUUCUCCUCCUCCUUGCAUCUCCCCACUCCAGCCCUGGCUGCCUGGCUCUCCAGCUCACUCCAAAAGUGUCUCUUCCAUUUUCUCUCCCUCCCCUGCACCUCCCCUCUUCCCUCUCUUCCUUCCCGUUCCCUUCUCUUCAAAUCUUUUCAUAGUCAGCCUCCCUCCCCCGUGUCCCUCCUUCAGAUCUCCCUUCUGGCGGUUGGAGAAAGUAACACAUCAGCACCCCCACCCGCUUCUCAAACACUAUUUACAACCUAAAUUCCAAACAUCCGCCAUCUGGUUCUAGGAAGGGCCAAAAAUUAUUUGGAGAAGGAAGUCAGGAUUAUUCCAUCUUCAAAGCCAAAAGAAUUUAAAGGCCUCUUCUCUCCCACCUUCCUCGGGGGCCCCUCCGUUAACAUCUGACCCAUUAGGAUCCCUCAGUGAGUAGAGGAGGUCAGGGCACUUACUGGAGGGCCAGCUGGGCCUCUGACUGCAUGCAUCACCAGGAAUUUGUUGUGUCUCCUCUCCAUGCCUCAGUUUCCUCAGGGAAUGAUGGGUGUAGCCUAGGAUGCUUCCAACACAAGUGCUCUAAGACUCCAAGUCCUGGUGCAGAAAUUUCAGCUGAUCCUGGUCACUGGAUCCCAGCUUUGGGGUGAGCAAUGAGGAGUGAGAUGAGGUCAGGAUCUGACCUGGGAGGGCCCUGGACACCCCACAAGGUCCAGUCCUCUCCCUACCACAUCACAUACAAACAUGCGCACGUGCGUGCACACGGACCCUGAGGCCCAGGGAGGGCAAGGCCUUUGUCCAUGGUCACACAGUGUAUGUGUCUGUGGGAGACCGGGUACCUAGCCUGCUACCCCUCCCACCCAACACAUUCCAGAAGAAACCAAGAUCCCUAUUACCCAGAAAGUCUCACCGAUCCGAGCAAAGCCCCCAAAUCCUGGAGCUCCCUGCUCUUCGCAAAGCAGACAGGACAGAAGGCAGAACCAACUCCUUUAUCUUGGUGGUAGCUUUUGGUUUGCUGUUUUCUAUCAACUGGACAGCGGGCAAGGGAAAGAUACUAUGGCACAGGCAGAACAGCAACCAAAAUAAGAAACCCCCUUGAUUCUACUGACGUGCAGCCUUUGCCAGGGCCCAGGAGGCUUCUGCUUAGACUAAAAAUGCUUUCUCUUUUCACAGCCCCUCUCCAUGAAGGCAAACACAUACCUGGAAAAUGCCAUGAGACACUGACUCAGGUUAUCACUCUGAAAAUGAUGCCAUAUUGCAGGCACAACAGCACAUACCUGUAACCACAGCUACUCCGAAGGCUGAGGCGGGAGGAUUGCAAGUCCAAGGCCAGUCUUGGUGACAUAGUGAAAUACUGUCUCAAAACAAAAUUUUAAAAAAGGGCCUGGGAUGUAGCUCAGUGGUAGAGUGCUUGCCUAGCUUGUGCAAGGCCCUGGGUUCUAUUCUCAGAACCAAGAAAAAAUUAAUUAAAAAUAAAAAUAAUCCAUAAAUAAUCUGGGCUCCAAGGGGAGCCAUGAACAUGCAUUUUGGGCUGCCUGGAACCAGUCCCGAUCUGACACUUAGUAGCUAUGUGGCCAAGGGAGUGCUGUCAGCUCUGAGAGCCUCAGUGUCCUCAUCUGUAAGACGAGGGCAGGCAGAGUGGUGCCUAACUCUUAAGUGACUGUGAGUCAGGUGAAGAAACCAUGGCAAAGGGCGGAGCAUCCAGAGUCCCAGCGCUUCGCCAGUGGUGGCCGUGGCUAGGGUGGGCCCAAGGAGCUGGGUACAGAGGAAGACAGCUUGGGGACACUCUUUGGCAGCCUUUGCCCUCCCUGGGAGCCCAGGGUGACAGGAACUGCAGGAACGCUUGUCUCUAGGUCCCUCCCAGGACACCUCCCAGGGCUGAGCUCCUGGGACAUGGCCUAGGGGGUCUAGGGCAGCCUCGCCUGCCAGCCCUCUUCUUUCCCUGGCUUCCCCCCGCCCCCUGGUUUCGACCUCAAACUGCAUUCCCAGGGUUUGCUCCAAAGCCAGAGCACCCUUCCCUGGGGAGGAAGUGGGGAGCGUGUGAGGCUGCUGAACUCGGUGUGGGUGAUGGGCAGAGGACGCUCUGGGAACAGAGACCCAGGGCAGCUGUGCACAGAGGGGACAUGAGGAGGGGCCCAGACAGCAGCUCCACAGCCAGCUUCCACAUCUUGUCCCGACCGAGGGCUGCAGGCCUUCAUCUCUGCCUCCUUGCUGCUCUUCCUGCCUCUACCCUACAUGCGCUAAUAAACGGGCACUGCAGCCGUUUGUUCUGGCUUAUUUAUCACAAGCUUCAGAUUGCUGGCCCUUGACGUCCACCUCAUCUGGCCUUCACAAACAAGGCCCAGAGAAGUGAAGACCCUGAUCCUACAUCACACAGCCAGUUAAUUCUAGAGGUGUGAGCAGGGCAUGUCUUCUUCAUUCUUUCCAAAUCUGUGAUGGAAACUGGCCCUGGAGGCCAAGGCGAGCAGAGGCUGGAGAGCUCACACAUAUGUGUAGGAGUCGAGGCCAGGGUGGUGGCCAUGCGACCAGGUGUGAGCCUGGGCCUUAGGCUUGCUCAGAGCCCUGGCCUCUGUCCUCCCAGACUGCAGGCCAUCUGGCUCACAGAUGUGGCCCAUUCCCAUUCCCUCAUGUUUCUUGGAAACAAGCAAGGACAGAAGAGCCCACUAGGCUUUUGCAGUGACUGUAACAAUGUGAGCAUUGUCUCAGGGUCACCUGGCCAGCCACUGCCCAUGCUCAGGGGCAGCUGGACUGAGCACACAGAGCCUGGGUCCCAGUCUGCUCCGGCACUUCUCAGCAGGUGACCCUACCAGGCAAAGGCAGAUGCACAUCCUCUCUGACUCUGGGCGGGGUGCUCAGGUGACAGCUCCCCAGACCUCUGGGGAUUGGUUUUUGGACCCCAAAUGGCUCCUUUUUUUUUUAUUUUUUGGUACAGGGGAUCAAACUCCUUGAGGUCCUUGAGCUUGCACAGCAGGUGGCGAAACCACUGAGCUAAAUCCCUGGCUAAUGGCUCCUUAUAUACAAGCCCAGGGGGGAUUUCAUGCCAGACUGGUUCUUUAGUCAGGAACUUCUGCUGCUCUCGGAUCUAGAGUUUCUCUGAAGACCUCCUUGAGAGCCAAACUGGUAUAGCAGUGACAGUGGCUGCUCCGGCGUGAGGGUCCCCUUCCACAGGGCCUGGAAAAUCUCAGGGAGUUCUGGGCCAGCAGUGGCUGGGCCCCUCCUCGGUCUCUCCACGCCUGGCAGCCCCAUCUGGGUCCUCAGAGACCAGGGCCCUGGCCAGAGAGCAGCCCCGCAUCCCUCUGCCAGGCAGGAUCUCUGUCCCUUUCAGGGAAGGGCACCGGCUGGUGUUGGAGGAGCGGAAGCCCAGAGCAGGAACCUCCCAGGGAGGGAGUGGGCGGCAGGCAGCAGAACUGUGAGUGUCCCCCAGCUCCUCCACACACGCCUGCUUCAGGCAGCUCCCGGAGUAUCUGGGAACCUGGGGACCCCCCCCCCCAUGCUGACCCUCACCAGGCCUCAGAACAGCGAGGAAAAGGAAGGCCCAGGUUGAACGGUGGUAAUGUGGGCAAUUCUGGGCCUUUGCAGGCUGAGCAAUGAAACCAAAGAAAGGAGAACUGAUCAGGAGCUGAGAGUCUCUGCCUCCCCACAUUCCUGAUGAAAGACCCAUGCAAGCCUGUGUGAUGUGAUGAGUGAGCAGCUUGCAGAAGAUGGAGGGAACGGUAGCAAUCUUCCCUAGAAAGAGUGAAGAGAGCCAGACCCGGAGACAGGAGGCCCUGGGACAAAUCACAGCCUCUCUGAGCCUGCUGGUAACCAAUGGGCUCCUGGGGCUUUGGAGGGGCUCCCAAAGUUGGGCUGUGUCCUAGGUGUGCUGCAAAGCUCAAGAAAGAGCAGCAGUUGUUUUUGCCGCCCAUGCUUCUCACGCUUGCCAAUUAUUAGAGGCGCCUUCACGCUCCUGGUAGAGGGCAGGAUGAGGUGUCAGCCCCAUUAAGAGAGCUGGGGAAACUGAGGCCUGGGAAGUGAAGGAACUCACUCAGUCACUGGGACAGGCAGCAGCAGAGGGGCAUUCUGGCACCAGGUCUCACAUGGCUGGAAAAAAGGAAGAAAGGUUUGGAGGUGAGUGGAGGGUGGGUGGAGGAGCAGACUCCAGCAAGGAGGAUGCUCCGAGGAGGUGGGACAAGCCCCAGGCCUGCUUUACAUAACACGGCCCACCUGUUCACCCCUGCACACCCCACACAUGUGUGCAAACGUGCACAGACCUGGUCCUUACUCACCAGCUAAUGAGCCACAGAGACUGGAUCUAAACAAAUUGGAUUAGAAGGGCUGCAGGCGCCUCCUCCCUCGCCUGUCCGGCUCCGACACUGAGCAGGCCUGCAGAGCCGCCAGCUGCAGAAUCUCGGCCACACUGACAAUCUUCCUGGGCCCCAGGCCCCAGCCCUGAGCCCCAGGAAGGAGACUGGGGCCUGAGAGGAUGCCACAGUGAUGGAUGGAGUGAGGGAGGCUCCGGGCCUCCUCCAGGGCACACAGGAUGUUAGUGCUUGUGUGAGGCCACUACCGAGUGUUCCCAGCCCACCCCACUGCCCCACUCCUCCCCCUUCCUCCAGCCUCUCCUGCAGUCACCACUGCCUGUCUGGGACUUGGGCCCAGACUGGUAUACCCAUCCCUGGCUCCACAGUCUCACGGCUGGGCUGAGCCGGAAGUGGGCAGAUCAGGAGACAUCAGCCUAGGGACAGCACCAAUUGGCACUUCAGAGGAAAGAAACUGGGCAAAAAGGUGAGGCCACCUGGGGGCAGCAUCUCAGUGCUUUCACAUGCAUCUUUGGGCUUAACCCUCAGAAGGUGCCUGGGAGGAGGAGACCGUGCCCAUGGAACCAACGUGACCUCUGGGGUUUCUUCAUCACAACACCCUUUCCUGAGCCCUGAGCCUGUGCCAGGCCAGUUGAUGAGCUGAGGACAGCGAUGAAAGACCCAUUGCCCUUGCUCCUGUGGUUCAUAGGGGUCAGUCUCUGGGGACUGGGGCUUGGGCCCUGGGGCUUCCCUGGCUUUUGCAGGAGUGGCCCCAGCAAAAUCUCUUCUCCACAGGGAUUGGAUAUUUCCAUCCAGAGGAGCUGUAGCAAGAACCCAACCCGACCCUGACGUCAGACAGCCCCCAGUACCCAUCCUGCCCCACUCCCUUUCCAGCUGGAUCACUGUGGUCAAAUGACAGCAUCUUCACGCCUAUUUCCCCUUCUCCCAAACAGGGCUGCGAAAGCUCCCGCUUCAUAGGGCCAACAGGAUUGAUCAUCAUUGUCCAUACUCUCAUCGGACAGAGGGAAAAAUGAAAGCCCAGAGAAGAAAGGGGCUCAGACAGGGUCACAGCAGGAGUUGGGAGUUAAGUCAGAAGCAGAGCUUCCAGACAGAAGACAGAGGAUCCUGGGCUGGCUGGCGACAUUUCCUGAAGACUUGGGGCAAGGGAGGGGGAAAUGGCAGUCCCCUGGGGUCAGCCUUCCAGGCUGCCAGAAAGCCCUCCCUGAACCUCCAGGUAAAAGGUCCACCCGGCUCAGCCUCAUCCUUUCAUAGAAGGGGAAACAGAGAAAAGUGAAGAAAUAGUGGUGCCAACUGGCAACAGAACCUGGGACUCCAACCGACCACCUGUCUCAUCUUCUGACUGGGGACCCAGAGCACGAAAGAGCCUCCGUGGGGUAAGUGAGACAGGAGCUCUGUGGACCCCCUGCUCAGGGAGGCCCUCACUGGAAGGAGGCAGGGGUUGGGACAAGUGCCAUCGGCCAUCCAAGCAAGUAUGCAUGACCCAAAGGAAGCGUUCCAGGGGCUGAAGAGCCAGGAACAGUCCGCCCUCCACAUCUCUCCUUCCACCCCACCAACUGUGCACUUCCUCCUCCAAGGAGCCUUCCCAGCUCCCCCAGGGACAGGACCUCUUUGUCUUCCAAGCCUUUGUCAGUCCUUUCAUGAGCUCUCCUUGUCCUACUUGGCUCUGUGUCUAUCCCCAUUCCCUGCUCAGAGCAGUUUCUGGUUUUGGUUUGGUUUGGUUUGGUUGGUUGGCUUGUUGGUUGGUUGGUAUUAUGGAUCAAACCCAGGGCUUCCACACUGAGCUAUAUCUGCAGCUCUUUUUUAUUUUUAUUCUGAGACAGGGUCUUGCUAAUUUGCUAAGUUGCCCAGGCUGGGUUCAAACUUUCUAUCCUCCUCCCCCAAUCUCCCAGAGUGCGAGGAUUACAGGUGUGGGACAGGGCAUUUUGCUUCUACCUCAGCCUGACUACCAGGCUCAGCCCCAUCUCCCUGGGCACAGAAGAGGCACUUGGUUUGCUCAAUGACCAGGUGUAAUGAUAAGACCCUGUCCUAAACCCAAAGGACUGGGGAACUGGUCCGGGAGGAGAGACCCAGUGUGGAGGUUGAUGGAGGGGGUGUGGAAUUGUUUACUCUGAGCUAAGAAACCCAGCACAGCUCCUUGCUCUGUGGCCUCAGAAAACACCCCUGCAGUGGAGCCUUAAGGACGCACAGGGAUUGACACAAGAAACCAUUCGAGAAGUGGCCAUUUUGGUUCUAGUCAUCACCUGUGUGAUUGCUCUGGUACUGAGGAGCAGAACUAGGCAGCUCAGACCGCAGCCAUAGAGGAAUUACAGCUUCUGUCCAGUGUCACUUUCUCCUGGAGAAGCAUGGCCACCUCUGCUGCCCUGUUCCCACGGCAGAGUCAGCUGUCUGCUGUCUGUGCGCCCUUCACCCUCGAGGUGAGGUAGAAACGUCCUGAGCUCGCCUUGGAGGUGAUCACUGUCCUGCCUCACCUGCUAUUGGAUUCAGAUGCGAUGGGAUGGGGCAUUGUUUCCCAAACCCACCCCUUCAGACGCCUCCUUUUUUAUUUGUGCACACAAUCAUAGUAUUUAAAAAUAUAAGAUGAGUCCUCCAAGUACUUAAAUAGAAACAGUUAUGAUAAAAUGAAAACUAUAGCACAGUCCAAAGGUAGAAAUAAAUACAGUGAAAAUGAAACAACGUGGUUAGGCUUUAACCUAACAUGUGGCUUGCAGGAUCCUGAGCAGUAAGAGGGGUCAGGAAGGUGUCAGCCCACGCAGCAUGGAAAGCGAAGUGACACAGAACACCAGAGCCACUCUGUCCUCAAGUGACUCAGUGCUGAGACCACCGGCUCCCACACCUCAGGGGUCAAGCCGAGCACCUCCUCUCCCGGGUGCUGGAGCCAGGGGAGCGGCAUGCACAGGUCGUCCACCUGGCCAAUCGAGUCCAGGGUUAGAACUGCUGCCAAGCCAGGGCCAGUUUGAAAGGUUUCUUUUUCUCUCCUCCCCUCCCUCCCCCUCCCCCUUCUUCUCCUCUUCUUCCUCCUCUUUCUUCUUUUUCUUUUCUUUUUUUUUUUGAAUGGUCCUGGGCAUUGAACCCAGGAUCUUCACACUAAGCUGCACCCUGGCCCUUUUUAAUUGAUUAAUUUUUUUUUUUGGUACCAGGGAAUCGAACUCAGGACCUUGUGCUUGGAAGGCAGGCGGUGGCACCACUGAGCUAAAUCCCCGGCCUGGCCCUUUUUUAUUUUGAGACAGUAUCUUGCCAAGUUGCCCAGGCUAGGCUCCAGUUUGCAGUCCUUUUGCCUCAGCCUCCCAGAGUGCUGAGAUAACAAGUGUGCAAGAGUUUUUGCAAGAGGAAGGGAGUUCUUUGGCUGAGAAUACCUCUGGCAGGCUGUCCCCUCAGCUGCCGGCAGACCUGCCCCAAGCAACAGACUAGAGGUAGACGUCCCACUCCUCCCGGAGACUGCAUUGAGCCUUAGGUCAGAUUCCUGAUGCAGGUAGGCAUGGGAGACAUUUUGUUUUUUUAAUGGAGGUGUUUUCUUUCUUCUUUCCCAGACCUGAGGAAAGGCUGCCCAUGCCCUUCAGACAUCCUUGAAAGUGUAGGUCACUGGCAUUGAGGCCACCACGGUCGCCAUCAGACAGAGCAGGAGGCUCCUCGGGCACCCUGAGAGCCUGGUGGGGCAGGAGUGGGGGAGGGGACGUUCCCACCCAAGCCAGGCCCAGAGAAGGAAGUGACUUGUCUACAUGGUCAUUCAACCUGCCAUACAUGGCGCCCCUGCAGUUACUCACCAUGGACAAAGCCAUCAGCCAGGUCUAGGGACCACAAGAUAUGGAGCUCUGUCCUCAGGGAACCGGAGAUCUCACCAGGUCCAAUCUAGGCCCAUGACUCUCAUUCUAGAGAGCCUGAGGCUGAGGGGUGAUCCACGCUGCCUGCUGUGAUUUAGGAGGUGAGGCCGGUUCACCACGUUCUUUCCCUCACGGUUGGGCCACCAGUCCACGACAAGUGAAGUUGCCUUUCAAGAGUGGUAAAGGGCCAGGGGCCAGGGAUUUAGCUCAGUGGUCCCGCCGCCUGCCUCGCAAGCUCAAGGUCCCAAGUUUGAUCCCUGGUACCAAAAAAAUAAAACCAAAAAGAGUGGUAAAGGGCCAGGUGCAGUGCCACACACCUGUAAUCCCAGCACUCUGGGAGGCUGAGGCAGAUGGCUUACAAGUUCGAGCCCAGCCUAGACAACUAGAGAUUUAGGAAGACUCUGUCUGAAAAGAAAAGAAAAGAAAAGAAAAGAAACAGAGAUGUGGGGGACCUGGGGAUGUAACUUUAAAAAGUACAGGAAUGGAGCAGUCACAGUAUGGGCAAGAUCACGGGAGCAGGGGGACGCGAGGUGGAAAGAAGCCAAAGGCUGUCCUCUCAACUGACACUGCACACAGGAAGAGGAGAGGCCGGGGAGCCAGGGGACUGUGUGAGCCUGGAGCAGCAAAUGGGGCAGCAGUGGCCUAAAAGAGAAGCCUGGGGGCAGAUGGGACAGAUGGGACAGAUGCAGAGGCCCUCCGAGCUGAGGGAGGGUUCAGAGUCAGCCUGGGGCAGAGGGAGCCCUUUGGGGUUAUAAAUCCAAAAAAGGGCCACGUUUGCAUUUGAGGUCUCUUGUUUCCAUUCCUCCCAGUGCGUCUGGAAGGGUGGGUGGGAAGAAGGGAGGAGUGGAGGAAGGGAGACAAGGUAGGGCAAGUGCUCCCUGGACACAAUGUCAAGUCCCAUGGUGCCAUUUGGCUGCUCCAAGCAGAAGGAUGGGGCCAUGGGGUCCACAAGCUAGGUCAGAACAGACAGAUCUCUAGAGACAGAAACUGGUCCACCUCAGGUUGGAGUUAGCUGAGGAGGGAGCGGUUAUGGGUGGGGUGAAGUAUUCUAAAAUUGUGGCAACAGCCGGGAAUUUAGCUCAGUGGUUCUGGUGCCCUGCCUUAAAAGCCCAAGGUCCCAAGUUCAAUCCCCGGUUCCAAAAAUAAAUAAAUAAAUAAAAUUGUGGCAACAGUUGCACAACUUUGUGAAUAUUAAAAACCAAUGAAGGAGCAGGGAGUGUAGCUUGGUGGUUAGAGAACAUGCUUAGUGUGCACUUGUGUGAGGGUCUGGGUUCAAACUCCAACACUGCAAAAAAACAGCAAACCAAAUUAUUUAAUUGUGCACUUUCCAUGGGUAGACUCCAUGGCAAUGAAAGAGAAAAGGCCAGCAGGGCUGGAGGUGCAGCUCAGUGGUUGAGCACUAGCUUAGCAUCACCAGCACUGCGAGGAGGGAGAAAGGAAGAUGGGGUUUGGUUCAGUGGGCUCCAGUGGCCUCCAAGGACAGGAAGCACAGCUGGGGCAGCAACAGAAGCCUCCAGGCAGGGCUGGGAGAGGCAGCCAGGAGGAGUCGCCUCGGCCCAGCCACCUCGCCAGCAGCGCGGCCCUGUCCCCCAGCCUGAGGUGCAGUGCUGCAUCUCUGGUCAGUUGGGAGUCUGAGAUGAAGCACUGUAGCUCGGGAAGGGAGAAGUUGUUCUGCAGCCUUGGCCUGGACAAGGUAAGUGGUGACAGUGGCGGGGGGGGGGGGGGGGGGAAGGAUGGAUGUCCCCAGACUCUGUGCCAUCAGCAGAGUCCUGGAUUCCAGACCCACCAGAGCCGCCCGAUGCCUCUGUGCCCGGGGUCCAUCCGUGACAUGAGGGGCUGCACAGUUCCGUGGUGGCCGUUAGGCCCUGCAUCCUGGACAGCUGCUGUUAAUGACCCAGAGCUGAGUGAAUUGCCCGUGGGCAGAUCGGACGACUCCUAAAGACUCUUAAGCAUGGGCUGGGGAUUUAGCUCAGUGGUUUCAGCGCCUGCCUCGCAAGCGCAAGGUCCCAAGUUCGAUCCCCAGUACCAAAAAAAAAAAAAGACUCUUAAGCUUGGGAGACAAAAGCCCUGGUUCUGAGUCAGGGCCUUCACUCUCUGAGCUCCUCAGCUUGGCUCUUUCAGUUGAGCAAUGGGCAGCGUGAGAGAACCACUGGGCCGAGCACAGUGCUGUUUAACCUCCCAGCACACAGUGAGGGAGGGGGCGGGGGGGCAGUGUGCUGCUGGCCCACUUUAUAGAGGAGAAAACCAAGGCUCAGUUAAGCAGCUCAACCAAGGUCACGUCUCGAUUGUGCUCAGCUGGUUGUACCCUAAUCUGUCUGCCUUCAGGCUACUGCUCUACCCACUGCUGGGAUCAUGGAAUCGGGGAUGGGGAACAGGAGAACAUAAGGAAUCCCACUCUGGUCUUUACACCUAGAGUUACUGUUCACAAAAGCAGACCCAGACACCUCCAUUAAUGGUAUGGGCUCACCCCACAUCCUAUCCUAUCAACUCAGCUGUUCCAUAGGACCUGUACCGUCUGUCCCAUUUACAGGCCAUGGUUCAGGGCUUGUGACUUGCUGGAGGUCAUCAGAGAAAGUUGCCAACUUGGGUGUGAUGGUACACGCCUGUAAUGCCAGCCCUCUACAAGGCAGAGGCAAGAGGAUUAAGAGUUCUAGCCCAGCCUGGGCCACUUAAUGAUUUAGCAAGACCAGGUAUCAAAAUAAAAAAUAAAAACAGGACUAAGACUGUAGCUCACUAUGAAGGCCUUGGGUUCAAUCCUUAGUACAAAAAAAAAAAAAAGAAAAGAAAAAUGUAGAUGUGCCCUAUUCACCCUCUGGCUAGCGACUGGGGUACACUUGAGCCAGGGUAGCUAAGGGGAUUGGGGGUGCAGCUGGGGACUGAGGUCCCAGAUGGUUUCUGAUCAACAAGCUCACCAGGCCGCCUUGGUGAUGGGAAGGUACUUUCCAGGGCACUCAAAUUCCAGUCACUGCUCUUCCCAGAGCAGGAAGCCGCAUCCUGUGAGUGGCGCCCCCGCCGGCCGCUCCCCUGGCUCACAGGGACAGGGCAGGCCUUGGUGCUGAAGGCCACUCUCCCACCUUGUCCUCACGGUCCAGUUUUCCCAGGAAUCCCUUGGAUGCUAAGAUGGGGAUUCCUGGAAAUACUGUUCUUGAGGUCACGGUUUAACAGCUGGACUCAUCUCUCGCCCACCCCAACUCUGCCCCUGAGGGAAGAGGGUCAAGUAGAAGGCCAAGCGCUGGAGGUAAGAGGGCCUGUGAACCAUGUUCUUGACCUUGAAGUUGUUUUUCUUCCCACUGUGUCCAUUUCGUAACAUCCCUGUGAGGCUGGAUGUGGGGAAUGCAGCACUGUCCAUGCUUGGGAAACUUGUCCCAAGCCAGCAGUGGCUGAAGCAGAAUAGAAUCCCCUCUCAGCUCCCCCUACACCACCACCCUCCCUGGAGGCUUUGUUAUAACGGGGCAUGGUAUCAUAUCCACAUGACUGAGAAACUGAUAUAUGCACAUGAAUUUAUUUUACAUGUUUAUUAAAUCAUUAAGCCAGGCAUGGUGGUGUAUGCCUGCAGUCCCAGGUACUCAACCCUGAGGCAGAAAGACCACAAGUUCAAGACCAGUCUGGAUUACAUAGCAAGGCCCUGUCUCAAAAAAAACAGGCAAAAAAAAGUUUAUUACAUCAGCUAGGUAAACUACAAACCAUAAAUCUUUGUUCAAUUUGGAAUAUAGCCACAGAAAAAUGGAAAAUUUGUCAUCAAGGUAGAGUAAACAAGACUCAGGACGCCCCCUUGUGGUACUUGUACCCACUGCAGGAACUGUGGCUGCUCCAUGUACACUCUAAAGUAGCUACAAGACUCAGGACUAAGAUUUACCCUGAGAUCCCUUUGCCUCAGUGGCCUGAGGAUGUCAUUAACAGCAACACCUUCUCUGUUGCUUACCCUCUUUUCCUUCCAAAACCUGGUGUCCUCCUCAAACCCAGCUAAUGUCAAUAGGGUUAAUGAGGUUCAGAGAAGUAAAGUGACCAACCAAGGUCACUCGGACAGCAAAAGGCAGAACUAGGACUGGUUUCAAGUUCAAUGGCCUUUGCCAAUCUCUUAGCCAAAAGAAAAACCUACGAAAAUCAAGAAUAAAGGCUGCCUAUGGGUAAUGCUAACUGACUGAAUGUCGGAGCCCUGAAGUGGUCCAGGUACAUAACUAGAACUUCCCCCAAAUUCUUCCUGGUGCUUUUUAUGGAGUUAGUGGAGGUGGUGACUGCCGUGGCCCCAGGGGCCUCAUUUGGGCUGUGAUCCCCCACAUUCCCAUGGACCAGGUGGCUUCCCAGGCUGUGUUCCUAACUGGCCACACUGAAGACAUUCAUGAGCUGAGACCCCAUGGCCUCUCUGUGCUCUGUGACUAAUAAAGUGCUGGACCUUUGCCUGGUGUCCUGUCUCUUCCUGGGAACGUGCGACAGGGGAGGUAGCGAGCGCAGAGACAGAAUCUCAUGAUGGCCCCAGCUGGGGUAACUCCCAAGUGCCUCCACAUGACGAGAUGCUUCCAGAAGCAGCAUAGACAGCGAUCAGGAGCCACAUCUGGGCAGAUGAAGGUCUCAGGAAGCUGCUGUGCCGCAUCUAGGAAGGCUUCCCCAAGGUGAGUUAGAGGGGUGAGGUAGCAGCUGAACAAGGAGCCCUCAGGGCCUCUCCACGCAGCUCCCUUCUCCUUCAGUCCCAGGUCAAAUAGGAAGCAGGGGUCUGAAGUGUUAGGUGAGUUCACACCUCACACAAGUGCCCGACUCCUGGUGGCCCCUGGAUAUCGGCCGUAACCACAUAACCACGGGGGAAGGGGCUGACACAAGGGUGCUUGGGACCCAGUCACCCCACUUCGGUAUGAGCCUCCAAACUGCCACAUAUUGAGAGCAAAAUCCUCUUCUGUGGUGACUCCCAGCUGCCUAGGGCCUCCCUACAGCUGUCCUUUGUGCCCAGAACGAGCUGUGGGUGGGAGCUGGGCACUGUGCUCAUCGCUGGGAAGCCCUCCAUGCCAGGCUGAGUGCCCCUCCUGCCACCACUGCACUGGCCCAGGCAGGCUGUUCCUCUUGGCCUUGAAACAGGACCCAGACAAACCCCAGGGCUUCUUGGUUCCCAGGCUUUAUCCAUGGGGCAGUUCCUUCUAGAACUCCUACUCCAUGUGGAACUUAGCCACCUGAGAUGACAUUUCCUGGCCUCUGUGGACCACUUACACACUGAGGUUUGAGAUUUGGGGGGGGGCCCUGCCAUAGAGGGGUGCACAGGAAUGACAGCAAAUAUCCUAAAGCAGCCACCUCCUUACUGACUUCAGUGUAAUGCAGCAAGCAUCGUCUGGUGCACACGCACGCCUCGUGUGGAUACAGCAGUGCACACGACCCCAGAGGAGCCUGCUGUGAAGACAGCUCUAGUGCACUGCACUGUACUUGGGGACCCAUGCUGACCAGGGCUGAACACAGCUCUAAGUAGGAAAGAUUUCAAUCUCAUGUCUCAAUGCCAUGCCCAGGCCUCCAUGCUGUGGAGGGAAGGAAUGAAAGCAGAUCCCCAGGCCCAGGCUCUGCCCGAUGGAGGAUCCACACGGCCGUUGACUCAGAAGGAGGCCUAGACCAGUCCCUUGGUGAGGAGUGGGUGAGGGACCAGGAUGCAGGCAGAAGGAAGAGGGUGCCCUCUUGUGGCCCACUGAGAAAUGACAGGCUUCUUUGGUUACAAAGACUUUUCAUUAUAUUUAUGUCAUCAGUGACCAUUACCUAAGACAUUUGCGUAGGAUUUUGCUUUUCAAAGCGUAUUUCCCCGGGCGGGGAUUUAGUUCAGUGGUUCCGCCGCCUGCCUCGCAAACGCAAGGUCCCUAGUUUGAUCCCCGGCACAAAAAAACAAAAUGUACUUCCCAUCCUGUGAUCUCACUUGAACCUUGGUUUGAGAAGCAUAUUUCAGAGUUUAAACAGUACUUGUUAUAAAAAUAAUCAUGACAGGGCCGGGGAUUUAGCUCAGUGGUUCUCCCACCUGCCUUGCAAGCACGAGGUCCUGAGUUUGAUCCCCAG
rnacentral:lncRNA from 1 species